rnacentral:lncRNA from 8 species
AUGUGGGCUUGUGUGCGUACGUGUAUUCAUUAUGUUUGUAUAUGUCCACAAACUGUAUGGGGUCCUAAUAUCUACUUUCCAAUUUCCUAUUUUCCUCAAAUCAUGCCCUUAUUUGUCCUUUGUUUUCUUUCACAGCAGUGCUGCAAAUCUCAUGGGUCCUCUCCUCCUGAAGGGGACAGCAGUCUGCCAGCUGGCACACCCACAGCAGGUCCACCUAUUCUCAACAGAGCACUCUCCAAAGGGAAACGCUUCAGGAGUAGCUCCCUGUCCCUCAGUCCAGUCCAAAGACACUGGGACACUCAUCACAUGAGGACCCCGCCCAUCUCUCGAGGACCAAGUGUUGCUGGCCCCGCAUAUAAACACCUGGAGGAGGUGGAGUCUACAGAGAUGGAGGCAGAGUCUUUAAGAGGCUUUGACACUGGAAGGGAUGGAGGUGACGAUCGCCAGCACAGCAGGUUCCCGAAUAUGCAAACCAUGUCUCGUUCUGCAGAGAAGGGAUGGAGGGAUGUUCCCUGCACCCGUCUUGACAAAGGAAUAACACCCGCUCCUCCCUCUCUCCGCACACACUCCGUCCCCAUCAUCCCCUCUCUCCAGGAACACGACCACGAGGGGGGUCACGUGGACGGGAGCAAGGAGAGGGUCUCGCAUGGAGGAGGUCUUGCCAGGCCAGGUUACAUGGCGCAGGCACCUGCCGGUGGCAGCAGCCACACACCCCCUAACUCCUCCUCCUCCACCUCUGUGACUGUACUAGAGUUAGAGGACAGACCCAGUCAUGUGCGUCCCUACAACAUUAAGACUGCACUGGGGUCAGAGACAAGCCCUAUUCACACGCACCAGGGCUCCUCUGAAACUCUAGUAGGGCCAGGGGACCCGUUCCAACACUCUAGCCUUGUGGCCUCUGGGACAGCAGAAUCCGGAUCAGGUGUUGCCGGGUUGAACAGCACAAACACUUUUAUUGCUGUGACCGUGCUGGAGUCCAAGAAAAAGAGCAUGCGGUAUACACCCAGACUGCUCUACAGCUUUCCCAAGAGCAGGGGUCCUCAGGCAGGUGUCCAAAGAGAGGCCCAGGGGCUUGGUAAACAAAACGUCCCCCUGGUGAAUGGAGGGGCAAACGGCUUCCUGUCAACAGUGGUGGGAAAAGGUGCUGGAAUUUCUUGGGCCAAACCUUCUGCCAGCUGAUUGGAUUAUUUCUCGCCAACUUGCAAGGAGAGACUCCGCCCACCUGCAUCGAUGACACGGGAGGGGGUAGGACCACCUGCUUAACUAAUUGGCCCCUAGUUUCUGUAAAAGAGCCACAGCAGCCUGGACUGCAGAGAGGAAUUAAUUUAUACAUUUAAGACACUGAAAACACACACACGUAUGUGAAUAAUGUGAAACAAUGCAAACAGACAUAAAGACCAGUGGGAGCUUGAUAUAAAUGUGUAUUUGAAAAAAAUAUAAAUGAUUUAUAUGCACUAUUUAAACAAAGCUUCUACUUAGAAAUCAAAAUAGUGUGUCAUCUCUGUUGUUUCUCUAUUGUAAAGAAAUCUAAUUAUACAUGUCAUAUAUAUAUAUGUCCUAUAAACAUAUAUUUGACAUGACGACGUGACAAAAUAAAGACAAAGACUACAGUGUUAAAGGGUGUGUGGUUGAUUGAAUUUCUGAAACAUAUUUCAGAUUAAUCUUUGUUGUCGGUGUCUCAAGUCGGUGUGGGUAUAGCCUAGUAAAUUGUAUAGAAAAAUAAGUUUAUCCUAUAUGACACAUUAUGUCAACAGGUGCUGCCUAUGGGAUUAUUCACUGUGCUGAAUGAGGUCUCUCUACUACAUCUUCUUCCAUCGACAGAUGAAUCAAGUCACACCCAGAGCAUCUCAUGCCAGACCACGAUGGUGUUCCUCCCCAGUAAAAGCAAGGUCCUCCAUUUGAUAAAGAGCGUCAGAUGGAUUUAAUCAUUUACUUGUUUAUCUCUUCCCCAAAACAGCCUCGUUAAUUAAAGUGCCGGUCUCAUUAAUUUUGCAUCAGCGAUGAGAGCAGAAAAGUUUUUAACUAGCCAAUCUUCAGGUGAGAAUGUUUCUCAAGAGGAAUUAAUCAGGCAAAAGAUGAAAGCACCGGCGCAUGUCCCUGGUCCUGUUCACAACAAAGUAGAGCAACACAGAGGGAAAAUGUUG